rnacentral:lncRNA from 1 species
GCAUUUAUGUUCAUCGUGUCCCGGAAGUGUGGUUGCAGAAGUUUAUGUAUCGGGUGAAGCACACUCAACUGUCUAUUUGUUGCAAUUAUAAAUGGCUCUAUUACAGCAUGGGUGUUCAACCUGCAUAUAAAUUUAAAGCAUGUAAACUAAGAUGAAGCUGCUACCAUAUGCUCCAAUGCAGUGCUGUUUAGGCCCUUACCAGUGGCUGAUAAGUUGAUGAUAGCCCGAAUCAUUUACAGCAGCGUAAGCUUUGGCCAGCUGCCAAACUGAAGCCUCGAUACCAUCUUCUGCUGGAGUGAAAACUUUGCUGACAGCACCAUGAUGCUCCCCUUGUGGAUGUGGUAGGCUUAACUCGAUUGCCAAAGGCUUCAAUGUCCCAUCUUCUUGCAGCAAGAGGAAAGUUCUGGUGGCAUAGGUCUUUGUCGUUGUUGUGUUAAUUCGUCUCAGGUAUGUCAUUAAUGCAUCAUGAUGAUCUAAAAUGAAAAAUCUGUUGCUUUUGAUUGCCUGUAUAAAAGGGAGAAAUGAUUAUGCACAUGAAGUAAACAAAUAUAGGGGUUUUUUUUUUUUCUGAAAGGGGUCGGUUUUUAUUGGGUAAAGGUAGUUUUUUAGAGACAAGAAAAUACUUCUUCAACACUGAGGCCAUUCAUGUUCUUUUCUAUUUGUUCUUUUCGUAUUGAACUGUUUUGAUUCCCAUAUACUUUAGGGUCUAGCUUGCUGGUUGGAGGAAAUUCCUGCAAAUAGAAUUUCAGUGAAUGAUGAAAUAAUUCAAGCUUAUGACAAAAUUGUAUCUCGAUGAGAGUCAAACAAAAUACUUAAUAUAAGCUUAGUUACUUGGAGGCGGGUGAUAUUAACAGGGUUAACCCCGGCUAACAUUUCUCUUGCAAACUCUUCAUCUGUCCUCCAUGCACUUUUAUCCACUGCAAAAUUUUCAUCAAAAUUCAUUCUUUAGUUAAUAUUUUCCAGAUUAUAGGAUACAAACUUUGCAAAAUAGUAGGCUUAUACCUUUAAUCACAUCAGGCAUUGGGAACUUGAGAAAUCGCUCGCCAUCUGAGCGAAGUAGUUCUUUGAGAAGUUCCCAAGGGACACGAUCCCUUAAUUUUUUGAGCGUAGGCCCAUUUGGUAACUUGAUGCCUCCUUCAUAGAGAUCAAGCACAUCCUCAAAAGUGUCAAACUCAUUGAUAGUUUUAUCACACAAAGAUCUAAGCUCUGGGAGCAAUAUCUGAACCAGGGAUUUUAGGGCAUAUGCAAGAAAAUCUGAAAACUUCACGUGGCCAAACCGCUCAUCUCUUGGAACGUAAAUGUCUAGACUUAGAAGAAACAGCCUGCUUUCGGAGUUGUGGUCUGUAUUACAAGCAUAAAGAAAAUUGGUCAAAGUUUGUGCUUCUAAGCCAUCAAAAUUAUACAGUCUCUUCAUAUUCUAAAUACAUGCCAUAAGAGUUUCAGGGUAGUAAGGACAUGGGAAUUAAAAAAAACAAAAAACAAAAAAAAAACAAAACAAAAGAUAAUUUAUUGAGCUAAAAUCGUUUCCUAACCAGUUUUAGUAGGUUUUCGACCAGUUCUUCCUCUUCUUGGAUAGGGAUACUCUUGUGAUCCACCAAGAACAGGGCGUGCAUAUUCUGGACCCUUGUCUGGACUCCCCAAAUCAUUGUAGUAAGCAUAGUCAUAGACUCUAUCCCACUCCUUUAGUUCGCCUGAUCCAAUCCCACGGAGAUUAGUCAGCUCUUCUUCCCUGUAAGGGAGUAAUAGCUCAGGUGUUUGAGAUGGCAAGUAGGCCUAACACAGACAUGAAGGUUCUGUCAGUGGAGUCAUUUCUGCAUGUCAUUAUGCAUUUCAGUAAAUCUCAGAAAGACUGAAUUUUGAAUGUAUGAAUUUUGAGAACUAGCGAUUAUUUCCCACAACCAAACUAUGAAAUUUAAUCACCCAUUAAAAGUUGUAGUGUUAAAAACAAUAUAUAUCUUGUCUAAUUUCUAUUUGGAAUGAUAUGCACACACAGACAAACACAUACCUUAUGAACACAAUAUUAAAAGGAUUUUCUUCAGUGCUAAUCCAGCUGGAAAGUUAUUGAUUAUAAUUCUUCCAUAUUCAAAAGUGGAUUAAGGACAAUAGAAUGGUUUUUCCAUAUCAGAAAACUUAAGAUUCCAAUAAUUGAGGUUCAAGAGAACAAUCAUGAAAAAAUUAUUUAAUUCAUUAAGGGUAUAUCUGUCUUUUUGCUCUUAUAAUGAUCUAUUUUAGUUUAUUUAAUUCAUUAAAGGUAUAUUUAUCUUUCUGCUGUUUAAGUUGGCUCUUAGGAAUUUUAAAAUCUGAUUUUGUUAGUGGGAAUAAAAUUAUUAAAAUUAGGGCUAAUGAGCAUUGUCCCAAAAAAUUAUCAUCACAUGAGGAUAAGAUUCGAUGCCAAAACCAAUAGAUCAAGUUCUUGAAGACCUUUCUUUGGAUUUCAAAUCAGUCAAAGACUGCUUUAAAAUGUUAUUAUACUUCCAUGUUUCUAAAUUUAAUUAUAUUCAAAAAUAUUAAAGAAAUAAUAAUAAAAAAUAGACUUACAAGUGGAACAUAUUUCUCUCUAGUACAUGUUGACUUCAAAUGAAAAUUACCUUGUUGGAGAAAAAUAUACGAUUAUACUUGUAACGAUGUGCAGGGUAAACCCAGGAAUUGCAGACAAAAUGGACUCGACCGUGCCCAGGAACAUCAUCUAAUGUAAUUGUCUUGAGGUAAAAUUGGCUAUGGUGAUGGUUUGUGAUCAUCAGAGCCCCAGGAACUCCCAUUGACUCAUCCCAGUCAAUUGAAGCGGAGAAAGCAGUAUCUCCAGCAGUCAAUGAUGUAACGGUUGUAAUCCAUUUCUCCAAGUAAGCUAUCUUCCCAGGCUUUCCUCGCAACACCAACCUAUUUGCUGCACAUGAACACAAGAAAAUGUCAGAUUCAGCUUAAAUUUGUAAGAACUGCGAUCAACAUGGACCAAGGAUUUGGUAAUCCAUGAAAAUCCAGUGGUUGACAUGAAUUCCAAGAAGUAGAACACUUCAUUGGUACUCGAAUGCCUAACGUUGGAUUUUGAUUUGGUGACCAUCAAUUUUGGGGCAAGCAAUUGACCUUGACUCUGAAAGCAUAUGCACUUGAGCCUAAUUACAGAAGCUAGACUAUUUUUUCUACAAACGACAAGAUCUCAUCAAACCACAAGUGGUUGAAGAAUUAGUGUCACAAAAUGAUGUACGAUAUGCAGAGUUUGAUUAAAAAGAGAAGCUUCUGAUCAUGACCUGCAGGUUCAGGAUGAGUAGCACUGAUGAGCUGCAUGGAAACACCCUUGCCCAGAAACUCAUGGAUUCGAUCAAGAAGUGACGCCUUCAUGUCGUUGAAGUCCAACACGUUCUUCUUCAUCAACACCACUGUUCCUCUGAUCUUCUUGCUCUCACUCACCUUCAGAUUUGGCUUCUCAUUGUUCUUCUUCAGACACACUGUAUCCAUCACAUCCCUUGCUACUGUGGAACUUGAGCAGAAACCCAUAAAGACCCAACAGCUCAAGAUCAAUAAUUCAAUACUCCAAAG